CCGUUAUAUUUAUUUUCCAUCCAACCUGUUCAUAGGGUCACGUGGACUUAGAUGAAUGGAAAACACUAACAUCAGAUUGAUCCAAAACUUCCGUGGCCCCAGGAAGUUUUCAACGGUAUGCGUUUCAUCAUCACUGUGUGGUCCACUUAAGUACUUAAUCUAACUGAUGUUUUGGAUAAUACCUUAAAUUGAUAUCCAAAAAUGGAUGGACGGUGUGGAUAAAACCUAUUCAUUAAGGUAGCCACUCAGAAGGGGUACCGAAUCCGCGUCCGUCCCAUUUAGGGUUUCUCUCGUCCCAUGCUAAAACCCUAACCCUAUAUAUACCGGAGAGGUCAUUUCCUUUUCCUCAGAAAACCGAAAUCGGCAGAGCCUCGUGAAAGGGAGCGAGAGAUCGAAGGGAGGCAGAGAAUAAGAAGAAGAAGAUGAGGGCCAAGUGGAAGAAGAAGCGUAUGAGGAGGCUGAAGAGAAAGCGCCGAAAGAUGAGGCAGAGAUCCAAGUAGAGAGUCUUGACAGACAAAUGGUGGGUCAGGUAUCUCUCCAACUGGACCCUCAUCAGCCUGCCAAUGUGUGGUUAGGUAGGGAUUUUUGCUUAUCCCCACUUACCUAUCAUUGGGUUUUGAGGAUACUCGAGGAGAUCUGCCUAGAAACCAUAUGGUCUGUUUUUAGUUUCAUGUUUUGCAGUUUUAGAUUCAGACUAUGUACUGGUGUAGCUGGUCGAUCAGUUGUUGUUUGGACCCCUUAAAGAGAUUCUUGGAGUUAAUAUCACCUCUCGUGGGGUGGCUAUCUUUCUUUUUGAA